rnacentral:rRNA from 1 species
AUUGAACGCUGGCGGCAGGCCUAACACAUGCAAGUCGAACGAGUGGCGGACGGGUGAGUAAUGUCUGGGAAACUGCCUGAUGGCGGGGGAUAACUCCUGGCAAAGGUAGCUCAUACCGCAUACAAUCGGAUGUGCCCCGAUGGGAUUAGCUAGUAGGUGGGGUAAAGGGUCACCUAGGCGACGAUCCCUAGCUGGUCUGAGAGGAUGACCAGCCACACGGGAACGGAGACACGGGCCAGACUCCUACGGGAGGCAGCAGUGGGGAAGAGUGAACAAUGGGGGCAAGCCUGAGGCAGCCAGGCCGCGUGUAUGAAGAAGGCCUUGGGGUGGUAAAGUACUUUCAGCGGGGAGGGGGUACCCGCAGAAGAAGGACCGGCUAACUUCGUGCCAGCAGCCGCGGUAAUAC